GGUUAAGUUAGAAAGGGCGCACGGUGGAUGCCUUGGCACUAGGAGCCGAAGAAGGACGGGACUAACUCCGAUAUGCUCCGGGGAGCUGUAAGUAAGCUUUGAUCCGGAGAUUUCCGAAUGGGGAAACCCUCUGUCCGUAAUGGGACAGAAUCCCUGCCUGAAUACAUAGGGCAGGAGAAGGCAGACCCGGGGAACUGAAACAUCUAAGUACCCGGAGGAAGAGAAAGCAAACGCGAUUCCCUGAGUAGCGGCGAGCGAAACGGGACCAGCCCAAACCAGAAGGCUUGCCUUCUGGGGUUGUAGGACACUCUAUACGGAGUUACAAAGGAAUGAAGCAGGCGAAGAGGUCUGGAAAGACCCAUCAAAGAAGGUAACAAUCCUGUAGCCGAACCUUCAUUCCCUCCAGAGUGGAUCCUGAGUACGGCGGAACACGUGAAAUUCCGUCGGAAUCCGGGAGGACCAUCUCCCAAGGCUAAAUACUCCCUAGUGACCGAUAGUGAACCAGUACCGUGAGGGAAAGGUGAAAAGCACCCCGGAAGGGGAGUGAAAGAGAACCUGAAACCGUGUGCCUACAAGUAGUCAGAGCCCGUUAAUGGGUGAUGGCGUGCCUUUUGUAGAAUGAACCGGCGAGUUGCGAUUUCAUGCGAGGUUAAGCCGCAAAGGCGGAGCCGCAGCGAAAGCGAGUCUGAACAGGGCGUAUGAGUAUGAGGUCGCAGACCCGAAACCAGGUGAUC
rfam:Bacillaceae bacterium MTCC 8252 Contig58, whole genome shotgun sequence.